AACCGAGGUUAAUACCGGAUACUCCAUAUUUGUCGCAUGGCGAAUAUGGGGAAAGCUCCGGCGGCAAAGGAUGGGCCCGCGGCCUGUUAGCUAGUUGGUGGGGUAGUGGCCUACCAAGGCAAUGAUGGGUAGCCGGGUUGAGAGAUCGACCGGCCAGAUUGGGACUGAGACACGGCCCAGACUCCUACGGGAGGCAGCAGCA
rnacentral:rRNA from 1 species